AACAGAUCACAGGGAAUGCAUGAGCUCUGUCUUAGGAUGGAUAUGAGCCAGCUGAGAGAUUACUGGUCAGAAUGACUAAGCAGUUAAACAUGAGUGACCCUGUUACAGAUUCCUGCUAUAGACUGCCUGAUCAGAAUGACGUCUUCAUAGAAGAACUGAUGAAGCAUGAGAGGGGUAAAAGGAUAGCAUGGUGGGCUGAAAAAUGGCGGAAAUGCUAGGCUUAAAGGUUUCAGAAGCAUGAAAUCCAGCCAGAGGCUGGAAAUCAGUGAAAUUAGUUCACUAGCAGCAUAUCCAAGCGGUCAAUAGUAUUAAAUGUCUUUAAUAAGGACCCAGAUAACGUGACAGAGAGCAAUUUUUCAUAUAAUGUGAAAAUGGAAGGAGUGUUUGACACACCUAAUAGUUGUGCUGCCAUUUAGGAGAAAUCUGACAAGCUGGAAAAAGAAGCUAUGAGGAACCUUACUCAUUUCAGAAAAGCAAAGAAGGCCAACCACAACCUGAGCUCUGUUGGGAAGAUCGCUGCCAGCAGGCCAAGGGAGGUAUUGCUCAGGUCUGUUAAAACCGUAUCCGAAUUGCUGCAUCCAAGAUUCCCUACUAAGAGAGACAACUGGACAUACAUGGAAAUUCAGCAAAGGGCAAUUAAGAUGAUUAACAGAUGGCAGUUUCUGUCAAAUGAGGUUCUACAACGUGUUAAACACCUCUAGAAAAAGAAGAGGUCAUUUUCUAGAAGGGAGACAAUGAUAAGAAUGUGGCAAAUGAGAAGAAUGUGGCAAGACACAGAGCUAUGGAGACAAAGAAGCAAAUUUUUGUGUGUGUGUCUCUAAACAGCUAUUCGGUGACAGCUGUUAAAACAGUGCUCCUCCUGUGCAUUGUGAUGUAUCUCCUGCAAGACUUCUCUCCCUUCCUUCAGGAACUGCUCGUUUGCUCUUACUUCUUGAGUGCUUGCAAUACAGUCCUCAUUGUUAAUUCCACAAGACUGAAUAUUAAUUCCUGCUCACUGUUAUGAUUAUUGGGGUUUUUUUCCCUAUUUCUUGAACUGAUGUAUGGAGCCUGCACAUGAUUCUGUGGGCACACAUAAAUCUAAAGAAGUUCAAGGCCUAGUGCUGCAUCUGAGUUGGGGCAUUUAUCAACACAGGCUGGGAUGAACAGAUUGAGUGCAGCACUGCUGAGGAGUUGGGGGUGCUGGUGGGUGAGAGGCUGAACAUUAGUCAGAAACAUGUGUGACCAGCAGGUUGAGGGAGAUGAUUUUCCCCCUCUACUCCUCUCUCAUGGGACCCCACCACUCUUAGUACCAUGUUCAACUCUAGGGUCGUUUGUACAAGGAAGACAUGGACCUGUUGGAGCAGGCCCUGCGUAGGGCCUUCUUCCUAUGAGAAAAGGCUGUGAGAGCUGGGGUUGUUCAGCCCAAGAAGAAGAGAAAGCUCUGGGGAGACUUCACUGGGGCCCUUCAAUACCUAAACAGAGGUAAACACACUUUUUAACAGGCCCUGUAGCAACCAGAAAAGCAGUAACUGUUUUAAAUUGAAAAAAUCAUAGAUUCAGACUAGAUAAGGAAGAAUUAUUCUAUGAUGAGAAUGGUGAAACACUUGAACAGAGAAGUAGUAGAUGCCCUAUCCCCAGUAAGGCUCGGCCAGGCUCUGCACAAUCUGAUCUAGUUGAAGACGUCCCUACCCAAAGUCAGAGGCUUGGACUACUUGACAUUUAAAGAUGCCUUGCAACAGAAACUAUUCUAUGAUCCUAUCACACAAGACUCUGGGGAAAAGAAAGAGGUAAAGUCAAAAACCCCAGCCACUUGGCUCAAUCACUAGGUCCAGUACACCUUCACACCUUCCAUCAAAUAUGCAAUCAGAGUGAAGGGUUCUUUAAUUUUAUUAAAUAUUAACCCAGAUCUCUGAUCCACAUGGACAAGAACAGCCAAUUUUUAUACAAACCUUAGAAUAAGAAUUAACAGGUGACUGUUACAAUGCAAAGGUGGCUGUCACUGGGGACUAAAUAAUUUCUUCAGGAAGACAAUACCUUGGAAAAUUUGAGUUACAGUUCCCGAUUACAUAUAUGAGUAGUGAGGAUUUGUUAGUUGCUAGGAAUACAAAAAUGUAUUUCAUGAAAAAUGAAAGAUUAGUGAACUGGACAAACACUCAGCUGUCAAAGACAGUAGGUGAAAACCAGGAUAAAAAUGUGAUGGGGAAUCCAGCAUCCCAUAAAACUUGAUGGGAAAAAAAAAGUAAAAUAAACAAAGCAAACCAAUUCUACAUCAAAGACAAAAAAAAUUCUCUACGACCUUUUCCUUCUCAACACUAAGGGAUAAUGAAAGACUUGCUCAUUGCAGUGAUUAUAUACACAGCUUGGUUUUUAUUAAUGAUGCAGUUAUGUAAUAAAUGUCUUAAGUAUUCUUUUCUAAUAGUACCUGAAAUUAGUGGUUCUUAGCAGAUAAAAUACAGUGUGACUGGCUACUUCAGCACCAACACACUGAGCACUAACACCCAGUUUUCAAUUUAUCCAAGCAAAGCACUCCCCAGUCACUGCUGCAGGACAAACUGAGCACAGAUUCUGACCAACCUGCUUGUUUCUGCAGGUUUUUCCACUCUUUCC